rnacentral:rRNA from 1 species
GUCAACGCCAGUUCGCGAUCGAGGAAAACUCNNGGGACAUGGUAGCCUGNCUNCGGNUGGGNGAAUGUGCNUNGNAGAACUCAUUUGCGGACUGAUUCCUUCGUGUCUGGUUGCAGCGCUGCUUGNNCUNGUGUUGGCGCUUGGGUGUGGGAGCUCGCUCCCUACACCCUGCCCAUCUAAGGUGCACGGCGCUUCCCUGACACAUAGACGAUGACUAAAUGGUUCUAUUCGACCCGUCUUGAAACACGGACCAAGGAGUCUAACAUAUGUGCGAGUCCACGGGUGGUAAACCUGCUGGCGCAGUGAAAGCGACUGCUGGGAUUUUUGCACCAGCAACCGACCAAUCAUUUGAGAGAGGUUUGAGUAUGAGCAUAUCUGU